UACGUAGGGUCCGAGCGUUGUCCGGAAUUAUUUGGGCGUAAAGAGCUCGUAGGCGGUUUGUCGCGUCUGCCGUGAAAGUCCGGGGCUCAACUCCGGAUCUGCGGUGGGUACGGGCAGACUAGAGUGAUGUAGGGGAGACUGGAAUUCCUGGUGUAGCGGUGAAAUGCGCAGAUAUCAGGAGGAACACCGAUGGCGAAGGCAGGUCUCUGGGCAUUAACUGACGCUGAGGAGCGAAAGCAUGGGGAGCGAACAGG
rnacentral:rRNA from 1 species